GAUGAACGCUGGCGGCGUGCCUAAUACAUGCAAGUCGAGCGAAUCACUGGGAGCUUGCUCCCGGUGGUUAGCGGCGGACGGGUGAGUAACACGUAGGCAACCUGCCUGUAAGAUUCGGAUAACUUCGGGAAACCGGAGCUAAUACGGAAUAAUAUCAUUCUCUGCAUAGAGAAUGAUUGAAAGGUGGCGCAAGCUACCACUUACAGAUGGGCCUGCGGCGCAUUAGCUAGUUGGUGAGGUAACGGCUCACCAAGGCGACGAUGCGUAGCCGACCUGAGAGGGUGGACGGCCACACUGGGACUGAGACACGGCCCAGACUCCUACGGGAGGCAGCAGUAGGGAAUCUUCCGCAAUGGACGAAAGUCUGACGGAGCGACGCCGCGUGAGUGAUGAAGGUCUUCGGAUCGUAAAGCUCUGUUGUUAGGGAAGAACAAGUAUCGUUCGAAUAGGGCGGUACCUUGACGGUACCUAACGAGAAAGCCACGGCUAACUACGUGCCAGCCGCCGCAGUAAAAC
rnacentral:rRNA from 1 species